AGAGUUUGAUCAUGGCUCAGAGCGAACGCUGGCGGCGUGCUUAACACAUGCAAGUCGAGUGCGCAGCUUCCUGUAGCAAUACAGGGAGUGGGCGCACGGCGCACGGGUGCGUAACACGUGGGCAAUCUGCCCUCGGAUGGGGGAUAACCCCGCGAAAGCGGGGCUAAUACCGCAUGACAUUCCGAAGACUCCGGUCUUUGGACUCAAAGGCCGCAAGGCCGUCUGAGGAGGAGCCCGCGCCCGAUUAGCUAGUUGGUGAGGUAACGGCUCACCAAGGCUUUGAUCGGUAGCCGGUCUGAGAGGAUGGCCGGCCACACUGGAACUGAGACACGGUCCAGACUCCUACGGGAGGCAGCAGUGGGGAAUAUUGCGCAAUGGGCGAAAGCCUGACGCAGCGACGCCGCGUGGGGGAUGAAGCUUCUCGGAGUGUAAACCCCUUUCGACCCGGACGAAUGACCCGCAAGGGUUUGACGGUACGGGUAUAAGAAGCCCCGGCUAACUACGUGCCAGCAGCCGCGGUAAUACGUAGGGGGCCAGCGUUGCUCGGAAUUACUGGGCGUAAAGGGUUCGUAGGUGGUGCGGCAAGUUGGAAGUGAAAUCUCUGGGCUUAACCCAGAGGCUGCUUUCAAAACUGCCGUGCUCGAGUGCGAGAGAGGCCAGUGGAAUUGCAGGUGUAGCGGUGAAAUGCGUAGAUAUCUGCAGGAACACCCGUGGCGAAGGCGGCUGGCUGGAUCGCAACUGACACUGAGGAACGAAAGCUAGGGGAGCAAACAGGAUUAGAUACCCUGGUAGUCCUAGCCCUAAACCAUCAGGACUUGGGGUGGCCCGCGUAGGCGGGUCGUCCCGUAGCUAACGCGUUAAGUCCUGCGCCUGGGGAGUACGGUCGCAAGACUGAAACUUAAAGGAAUUGACGG
rnacentral:rRNA from 1 species